UCUCACCUCAGCUAUUAUUUUAAAUAUUUUUCCUCUUUAUGGAUUUAUCUGCUUUCUUUCUUCACUGAACAUAUAUUAGUCGUUACAAAAAAACUUAUACAAAAAAACCUAUUUCCUUUUUUUUCUUAAGUUUUUUUUUUUUUUUUUUUUUUUACUUCUUUUGUUUUAUGCCACUUUUAAAUUUAAAUACAUAGAUGCUUUCGUCACCCACUCUGAACUACAAAUGACUUCUAGUCAAGUUCCUUUAGCGGUUACGAUCUUCAAUUACCGCAUAGAUUAUUAUUUCCCGCAAUGUUCACAAAACUACUCUUUCAGCAUCGUCUGGACCCUUGCUUUAAAGCUUAAUUUCACUCCUAUCUAAUCCUUUCUUAUUUUCCCCACCUUUCCCAAUUCGCAUAAACUUUUCAUUAAAUAUUUAAUAUUAAGGGUAUUGUUGUUUCUUUCAUACCUAUAAACAUAUAUCCGUCGCUUCUGCAAUUUCUUCGUCCUCCUUUUAUACCAUCUUCUUAAUCCCUAUUCUUUACUUCUGUCUCUUUUUCAUGACAUAUGUCUAUUUCGUCCCUAAUUGUCAUGUCAGAUUGUCAGUGAUUCGAAUUACGAAAUAGAAGUUGCGUGCGCCGCGCCGGUAAAUAAAUAAACAUAAAAAAACAAGUAUUAGGAAAAACACAAAACUAAAAAUAAAUUAACUAAUUGCACUGGAUGCAAACCAGAGUCACUAGGAAUAGUGACUAACCUAGGACAACUUUGGCCUAUCGGUGGCCACAACAAAACUCCGGCAUCAGAAGUGCCGAUAUUUUCACAAGGAUGACGGUGAAGGCCGACGGCUGGUCGUAUCGAUUUAAUUGUGAAGGACCUAUGGCAAUCUCUAAUACGAGUGCCAUUGCAUGUGGUGAAGGGCCUCUGCUUAAGCCGGGCGGAGCAAAUGCAUUUCCUCCUUGUUGGUUUUGAGUGGGGAAGAACCCACACUGUUUGAGCCGGGCGGAAGAAAUAUGAGUCUUUCAAGCUGGUAUCAGGUGGGGAAGAACCCUCGACCAUUCAGCCGGGCAAAACAAUGCUACAAGUAAAUUUUAGAAAUGAUUUAAACAUAAAUUUAAAUUCUUGGUACAGAGUAAGUCCAUAUUCAUUUUGUUAUUGAUAUUUGCAUGAAUUUAUAAUUUACUCGUUAGUUUGUUUUUUUUUUUUUUUUGGUGUAUCUACCUACUAUUCGGAUACGGGAUGUUUGAUUUCUUUAAAAAGAAGUAGUAGGUAUCAUAUGUACAUACUAUAUCUAUAAAAUCUAUAAAAUAUUUAUCAAAUCAGUUGUUGUUUUAUUGUAAGAGUUGAUGUACUUGGGCACAAUUUCAAAAAAAAAUGUAUAUACAUAUGUAUAUAGUUUCUGUGUUGUUAUAGGUAGUCAUUUAGUCCACAUUAAAGCGAUUGUUUCUUGUCGAUGUCCUGGUUGUAUUUACUACUAAUUCAACAACAUUCGUAUUGUAGAAUAAAGACUCCAAUGACUUACGUCAAUCUCUGGAUUGUACAAGUUAAUAUUGCUAAGUUUGGUUAUUGCUUAAAUUGUUUAUAUACUAACUUAAGCUAUAAUUAAAAUAUCACAGAUUGGAAUUACUUAUAUCUAGGUUAUCACAGUUGUUGAGUCAGUCGAGAUGUUUUUUUGUUUUCGUUUACUCGAAAUGAAAAAUAUCACAGAUGUUUGCCCAGGUUGUUAAGGAGCUUAACGAAUUACGACGGCAUUAAAUACAAUCUUUUUUUUUCAGUUUUCAUGCUUUGUACCUACUUUCGAUCACAGAUGGUUUGUCAUUUCUUGUCCUAUAUUCUAUAUCACAGUUGUUCGUUUCGUCUAUCAUAUCACAGGUUUAUAAAUAUUGGUCAUAAGACUCAUUUGAUUGUUUCGCUUCCAUUGUCUAUAAUUUGCCUCUUACAUUCUAUGUUUAUGUGUCCUGCAAAAACAAACUCAACAGUUAUCUAUUGUUUGAGAUCUUUCGCAUGAAAGAUCCCAAUCUUUUUCCCAACUAGGUUCUCCAGCUCGUACAUGCUUUUUCCUACGGGUUUGACAAUUCGACAUUUAACAUAUUUAGGACAAAGUUUAGACGAUAAAAGUUUCGAGGAGUCACUUAGUAUGAAGUUUCGUUUGUAAACCUCUUGACCAGGCAAGUAUCGGACAUUUCGAGACCUGGUGUUGUACGUUUUCCUCCCCUUCUCGUUAGCUAUUGUUAUAUUUUCUUUCAGCUUAGCACGUAUUAAGUGCAAUCGCUCUUGCCGCGGUAAGGUCGCCAACUCGCCAUCCUCAAGGACGUUUAACUUUUGUGCCAGUGCAUAUCCGCUCGCGUGUGUCAUCAUAUUUGUUCCAAAAAGAGCAAAGUAUGGUGAGACACCGAUGGCUGAAUGCACUGAACUCCUUAAGGCACAUGCGAUGUCGCUCAAGUGGCUAUCCCAAUCGCGCUGAUCUUCUUUCAGAUAGGAACGUAUGGCGGCUAAUAACGUACGGUUGACUCUCUCGGAAGCGUUAGAUUGUGGCGAGUAGUUUGCUGUUUUGAAAUGACGUAUUCCAUAUUUUUCCAAAAAACUUUGAAAUUCCUUUGACACAAACUGUUUUCCAUUAUCGGAAUGUAAAAUUUGUGGAACGCCAUAUGCAUUAAAUAUGUCGUUUCGCAAGUAAGUUAUUAUGUUACUUGACGUUGCUGAACGAAGCGGCUUUAGGAAUACAAAUUUAGACAUAUGAUCUAGUACAACAAAAACAUACACAUUUCCUGCUUUUGACCUAGGGUAUGGACCAAUAAAAUCAACAUAUAACUUCUGAAACGGACGGUCGGUGACAUAACCAUUCUCAAUAGGUGGACGUUGGACUUGACUUGAAGACUUAGACUUUUUACACGUUUCACAAUUACUUACAAACUGUCGAAUUUGUACUGUCAUGUUAGGCCAGUAAAAAUACUGUCGUACACGGUACAAUGUUUUCGCCAUUCCACCAUGGGCGGCUUUCGGUGGGUUAUGGGCAUUAGCAAUCAAAUUUUCGGUUAAGGUUGCCGGUACCCAUAACCGCCAAGAGUUCUCUACUAAUAGAUUUUCGCUAUUAAUAGGGAAGGUUCGUUUGUAUACAAAUGAAUCUACUAUCUUAACGUCGGGUAAUUCUUUUUCAUGCUCUCGUACGGUAUCUAUGAGGUUUUUGUACUCCUCUGAUUUAAAUUCGUCGGAUUCUAAAUCUAUCCAGGGAAUUAUUUCGCCCAUGUCCAAGCUAUCCAAGUGUGCUCGAGAAAGAGUGUCUGGCACGACAUUCAGCGAUCCUUUUCGGUGCUCUAUGUCGAAGGUAUAUGAUUGCAACUCAAGAGACCAUCUAGCCAAUCUACCACUGAGAUCUUUCAUGGUCAUUAACCAUUUUAAGCUAGAGUGAUCAGUUAUGAUGGUGAAAUCCAUACCUUCAACAUAAGGUCUGAACUUUUUCACUGCCAUCACCGCGGCCAUACAUUCCUUCUCGGUCACACUAUAGUUUCGCUGGCAUGAGUUAAGUUUUUGGGAAAAAUAAGAAAUAGGACUCUCUUCAUCAGCCUCUCCCUUCUGAAAAAGAACGGCCCCGAUUCCGGAAUCGGAAGCAUCACAUUGAACAUAAAAUCGUUUCGAGAAAUCUGGGUGUGUCAGCACCGGAGCUGUCGUAAGAGCUCUUUUCAAAUUUUCGAACGCGACUUUAGCUUCAUCUGUCAUGACAAACUUCGCGUUCUUUUUCUUGAGAGUAUCCGUCAAGGGAGCUGUUAAGUUUGAAAAGUCUCUUAUAAAACGCCUAUACCAUCCGGCCAACCCAAGUAACCUUCUCACCUGCCUAGCAUUUUUCGGUAUAGGAAAGUCAACUACAGCCUCUAUUUUUGCCGGAUCUGUUUUUAAUUUUCCACCACCAACAAUGAAACCCAAGUACUUCAGUUCUUUAAAACAAAACUUGGACUUCUUGACAUUGAUAGUGAGAUUAGCCUUUCUGAGACAAUCGGCUACUUCUUCUAACAGUGCAACAUGUGUUUCAAAGUCUGGCGCGAUAAUUAACAGAUCAUCUAAGUAAACAAAUACGCGAUCUCUAAGUCGGCUCGGGAUGACUUUAUCCAUUAGUCUGCACAACCUUUGGGCAGCAUUACACAACCCGAAAGGCAUCACCGUAAACUGGUACAGAGGUCUUCCCGGUACCGCAAACGCUGUUUUCUCUCUGCUAUCUUUCUCCAGUGGUAUCUGCCAGAAUGCUUCUUUCAGAUCUACACUACUGAUGUAGUAAGUAUCUGGAAGACGACUGAUCAGACCUUCGAUACUGGGAAGAGGAUUGGCGUCCUUUUUGCUCACCGAGUUGACCUUACGGGAAUCCAGGCAAAACCGGUAUUUUACGGUACCAUUUGGACCUGGUUUCUUUAUAAGAACAACUGGUGAACACCAUGGACUUUCACUCUCUUCAAUAACUCCAAUCUUAAGCAUCCUGUCGAUCUCCUGGUACAACACGGCUUGGACCACUGGAGAAACAGGAUAGUGCCUCUGCUUAAUCGGUACCGCGUCCCCGGUAUCAAUAACGUGCUCCAUGAGCGUCGUCUUCCCGAGACCGUGCCGAUCGUAAUCUAAAAAUUUUUGCUUUACCGUUUCCAAUACCGAUCGCUGUUCCAAUGAAAGUUCAUGAGCAUUCAUCAAAUCAGCGUCCUGUUCUAGAACCGAAACAGAACUUAAAAUGUUCGGAGCGAUCUGGAACGCCUUCCAAAAGUCCACUCCUAAAUACAAUUCUUGGUCUAGAUUGGGAACUAGGUAUAAGGUGACAUUUUGUUCUACAUUCCUGUACUGGAUUAACACAUUUAUUUUCCCUAUUAUUUUCUGACUUUGACCGUCAGCUGUUUUAACGCCCGAACUGUACGGUUGUUGUCGUAUUUUUAAAUCUUUUAUAAACUUAAGACAAUUUUUUCCUAAGAUACUUAUACUGGCCCCGCUGUCCAAGAGUCCGGUUAUCUCUCGGUCACAUAUUUUUACCUUCGCGUAAGGCCUAGGGUCAGUUUGGGUAUCAAUGACAGUUGACGCGAUUUUAUGCCGAGUUUGUUUUCUUAUUUCAUAUCUCGAUCUCGCUUUCUUAAUUCUGCUGGAUAUUUCGCUAACUCUUCCUUGAAAAAUUUUAUCUCUCGCCUCAUAAUAUUCUUUUAACCUAACGUGUAAUGGUUUUAUUUCUCUUUUGUUUCCUGGUUUCUUCUCUAAUUCAACAUCUUUCUUUUUUUCUCUAGCUAAAAUUGUAAUUCUUGUCUCAUCAAUAUUGGAUUUUGAAUAGUCAUUCUCUAAAGGUUUGUCUGGGGUGUCUGAGUCGAACGCGACUCCCCCGGAGUUGUCGCGUUCCGAUGGCGGUUUUCCGGAUUACACCGAGGACAUUUGGGAGUGAUAACACCAUCAAGCCCACACCUGUAACAAAAUAUAUUUCUUUUGUUGGAAGGACAGUCCACGAAAGAGUGACCUUGGAUCCGACAGUUCCAACACUCUCCGGCCCUGCCUUCACCUUGGCCUACUGAAGUUUUCGGUCGAGCUCCCGAACGCUGAAAAGCAUCUACGUGCUCACCUACUGAUGAAACCACUUCUGGAUCCGCAACAACAUCUAACUCAUUUGCUACGAACCGAUGUGGAGCUCUAUUCGGUUUUUGACCUUCUCGGUCCUUUUUCGGAAAAGCGUACUCCGCCUCCUUACAAGCCAUCCUCAGUUGGUCCAUUGAGAAAAUGGUUUGAGGAUAUACUAACGGCUCCAAUCGUUCGUUCAGGUUUCUCUUAAUCAUUCUUACCAGCUGAUUUUCGGGGAUCUGGACUUUUAAUUGAGACCGUAAACGAGUUAUCGCCGCAAAAUAGUCGUCGCUUGACUCCCAGUUGCCUUGCUUACGAUCCCUUAUUUCACCAGUUAUCUCGAUAUCCGAUUUGGAACUCUCGAACUGACGUAUUAAGGCAUCACGUAGCAUCGGCCAAUCUGGCUGUCCAUUUGAGCGAAGAUACCACCAGUACCAUUCACUCGCAGCCCCCGAGAGUAAGAGAUGAAAGUCUCUUAGAAUCUCAGCCCAUGCACACCUAUACUUAUCUUGUAGCAUCUCGACUCUGAAUACAAACUCUUCUACUCUAGGGUCAGCGGACUUCCCGUCAAACUGUAGCUUCCACUUGUCCAACCGGAUGGGCGUUUUCAUCACCGGUGGUGGAUAUACCGGAGGAGGGUUGAAGUAGAGAGGCUGAGGGUAUCUCGGCGUGAACCCAUUUGGUUCCUGGUAUGGGUUUGGAUGGGACAUGCCGUUUGCCUCAGACGUACUAACAGGACCUUGGUUCACACUCCGAUCCCUUGUAGUAUACGACGGCCUCGGAUACUGAUCGGCACUGAAAUUAUUAAGCUGAUCGUUCGACUGACGCGUUUGCCCACCAGAAUCCCCUAUCAAAUUCUGAACUCUUCCUCCCCCAGUUGGUGGACCAGGUUGAGUUGGGUUUGUUUCUUUCAAAAGAUCUAAAAACUGUUUCCUUAUUUCAUUUCUUAGCGAUUCGGUUAGUUGCCUACUAAGUGUAUUGUUGUAAGACGCACACGCGUCACCUACGGCCUGAUUAAUCGCCGACCUAACUUCUUCAGUGAUUCCAGAGUUAAUGGCUACUUGAGCCCCCGCGGCAUGAUUGUUCGAUUGACCCCCGCUAUCGGAUGACCUUGCCAUACCGUUGACCCAAUUUGACGGCUCCGGUGAUAAUCCUCCAGGUGGAGUCAAAUUACUAUACGAAGGUGCCGAUAAUGUAUCGAUCACACUUCUCCCAUCCCCCGAAUCUAAACCUACUAAACCUCCCUCAAUUGGGUUUGCACCUUCGGUUAGUAAUAAACCCUUUGACCGACCUUGUAUUUCCUGGGGAUGAUGGUCUUUAUUUCUAGCGAUAUUGUCAAUAGGUCCUACCCCAAUAGGUUUAGUUGCAGGUACUUCUUCAUUCGGAGAGUUUCCCAACCUUGGACCAGACUUGUCCUUAGGAGAGUGCUGAACUCGAGACAUCUCGGACGGAACUUGUAAAAUCUUUUCACGUAAGGAGCGGGUCUCGCACAACAAAAACAAAAACUAUACAACUAUACACUAGACGCUAUACAACAAAACCCUAACCUAAGAUACAAUUAUUCCUAUAAUCUAUAAACAAAAAAAAAAUAAAACCUAAAACUAUAAUUGUGUACAAAAAAAAAAUGAAUUUGCUAUAACUAUUCUAUAAAAUCUAAUUCUAAGCUAAAUUAUUCAAAAAAAAUGUAAAAAAAAUAUAUUUAUGUAAAUCCUUUAAAAUCUACAACCCUAUUCUAAUACACUAAGCCUAACUAAUCUAAGUAACACUACAAAUAUCUAUCAACUAAAUGUGGUACUUAACUUACUAAUAUUUAUAUUUAUCUUUUUAAUCUACCGAUACCUAUAUCUAAAAAAAAAAAAACUAUACCUAUGUCUUUUUUUUUUGUUUUGGAUUUUUCUUUUAAUUUGUUUUAUAUAUUUUUUUUGACUGUAUUUUAUUUUUUUUUGUAUGUAUUUAACUAUUCUACCUAAACCUUAAAUUCUUAAUUGCUAGUUAAAACGAAACUGAUUAAUUUAAAAAAAAAACUUAAUUCUAAAAAACCGAAAUAAAAAUUGAAAUUAAACAAAACGAAAAGAAACAAAAAAUAUAUAAGUUUACGCCGAUACAGAUUUUAAACUGAUAGAAAAAUUUGUAUACAUUAAUAACUUAAACCUAUCGUAAUUACUAUAUUACUAUUACUAUACACCUAAACUGAUAAAAGAAAAAAAACUUCAUGUUAAAAACGUAAAUAAAAUUGAAAUAAAAAAAAUAUAUGUAUGUAUGUAUGUAUCGAUUAUAAACUGAAGGAAAAUUUGUAAAACAUCAAUACUUAAACCACUUGUAAUAGAAAAGCUAAAAAAAAAUGUAUCACUAUCUGACACCGCGAACGUUGAACACUAUUAAGACUGAACGAAAGACUUCUACAGAUUGAUAAAAUAAAAUUUUUGCAAAAAAUUCAAAUUAUUCAUAAAACAAUUCGGAGGUGUUUCAGGCGGAUUCUUCAGUUACUUCUCUUUUUCUUCGUACAUGGGACACUAACGAACUUCGCUUCACUUCCUAAUCUCACUUUAUGUUCCCGAGAAAUGUCCAACAUACAACUUACACUCAUUCACACCGCUCAAUCACUACCAUGAACACACACACAACAUUCUUUAAUUAUAAAAAGCCUGUUUUUAUUUUUGCUUUUUGGGGUUCUUACCUCCUCGUCGCAAUUGGGUGGGCAUUCUAUAAAGCUAUCCCAUCCAAGACUUACGAUUCGACUAGAACCUUACCAAAAUCACCGUCUUCAAAUUGAUUCUGGAACUCCAGUCGCGAUUCAUUCGGUACGUAAAAACCUUCCGAAAGAAGACAUACUGGACUCCCUUAAACGUUUAGCAAAAAUAUUUCUUCCUUACUCGUUCCGACUGUCCUCUCGAACCGAUCUUCAACACUUCGUCGCAAGUAUGCAAGCAUUCUUAAAGCUAUCUUGCAUACGACAUACGCUGCAAUUGAAAACGGCUUCGAAAACAGGCGAAUACGGUUCACAGAAUCUUGCAUAAUCUUUAUUAAUGGUUUCCGUUCACAUCUCUUAGUCUUUGCAUCGCAAAUAACCGAGUUUUCUUACGAGCUAUCUCGUUUAUGUCUUAUGCUCCGACCAAGAUCUGGGCCCCAAACCACUGAAAAGAUUAAAAAAAAACAUACUAUCACAUUCAUACACACAAACACAACUUUGGUUGCAAACACGUUUCAAACGUUGCAAAUACGUUGGGCGCCAUUUGAAAUGAGAGGCAAUAGGUAGGUUUGAUAAGGAAGGGAUUUAGGAUAGGAUAGGAGCGCGGAGGAUUCAAUGACCAGCCCAUAAGGGUAGGCCAGAACUAGGAUGGGAUAAGGGGUACGGGAGUUGGGAUAGAAUGUCCACUACGAAGGCGAUGGCAUGCUCGCGAUGCUCGGCUAAGCUCGCCGGAUGAGGGGGGGAUCUUACCCUCGUAGAUGGACCUCACCUCUUUCCAAAACUAAAAUUUCAUGCCAUUACACAAAAACUUAAACGAUCCCAAAACAAGACGAUUACAAUACCACAUAACUCUAAAGAAACAAAAACAUAUACCGACUUACACACUACAACCAAAACACGACUUCCAAGCUAGCACUACAAGUAAAGAACACCAAACACAAGACAACCUACACACCGCCACCAGACACAGAACUAUCGACACACUACGACCGACACACCAUCACCAGACACACCAACACCAGACACACCAUCACCAGACACACCAUCACCAAACAGCACUACGUUCACGCUCGACCUGACACACUAUCACCGGAUAACACGACAUUCACGCCGGACCUGACACACCUCGGGAACGCUGCGGCUGUUGUUGCAGCAUGGCCGUACCCACCCAACCUGGAGUUCGACUGGCCUUUACUUUCGAACUCCCCUUACUAGUCUUUGAAGCUGAAGUUUACGUUGUAGAACCCGGUUCACUGAAGAGCAUUAUCCAGCCCUACCACACCUCCUCUGAAAAUUGUAAUCAGCACUCCAUAAUAUUUAAGUUCUGAACACCAAAAGUUGAUAAAAUCAAAAAAUAACACAACAAAUCGACUACACUGUAACGUGACUUACAUUUUAUUUAAAUAGACUUGUAACAAACAAAAAUGGAAUAUAUAAAAAAAAAUAUAAAGGAUAAUUUCGAAAUUUGAAAAUUAGAAAAUUGGUAAAUUUAAAAGAAAUUGAAAAUUUGAAAUAACUUAAAUAUAAAAAAAUCAAAGGAAAACACAGACUUUCUCCUCAGAAGUAUAUAUGUACCUAGUGUACCUAAUCCAAAAACAAACAAAAAAACAGGGACUUUCUCCGUAUGGAGGAGACUUAAGUUCCCUUGUUCUCCCCGGAAAUCUACGCCGUCUUCCUUUUAUGAAGCAGCUGUAUAAAUUCCUCUUUUAUCCUACCUACCAAGAGCUCUCUAUAGGUAGCUAAAGGGAUGCAAAAUGUUGCCUCUACUUUGACAGGGAGGGGUAUGGGGAACCUACGCCGCCCCGACGAACUUUACCCGUAAUGCUUACUCGACACUAACAAAAAAUAACGACGCACUCUAGACACAUAUACCGAUACAAGGAGUUACAAAAUAAAGUCGUUAUAAAUUUGAAUAUUUGUUGUUUCAAUGUCACGUUACUAAUUUUUCCUUUGUUAUUUGUUGGACAGCUAGGUAUACGUAUAUAUCUAUAUAUAUAUAUAAGCAAAUCCUAGAAUCGAUUCGCCAGGAACCGAAUCCUUUUCUCCUAUCCCGCCGGAUUGGCGUAAAUGUUAACGAGAAUGCACAACGAUAUAUAUAUAUAUAUGUAUAUGUAGUUAAAACUUAUAUAAAUAUAGGGGUGAGAUUGGUUUUGGCUAGUAAAGUUACUUGGUGAUCCGGGUCUCUCGACGGAUCAAUCUUAUGUUAAGCACAACCUCCACAUCACCUUGGGAAUGAAAUUUUCUUGCUCUAGGACUGUCGGUCACUCCUACGCCAACCACCGCGCCGGCCGCCAAAACUCAAUCUCACCUCAGCUAUUAUUUUAAAUAUUUUUCCUCUUUAUGGAUUUAUCUGCUUUCUUUCUUCACUGAACAUAUAUUAGUCGUUACAAAAAAACUUAUACAAAAAAACCUAUUUCCUUUUUUUUCUUAAGUUUUUUUUUUUUUUUUUUUUUUACUUCUUUUGUUUUAUGCCACUUUUAAAUUUAAAUACAUAGAUGCUUUCGUCACCCACUCUGAACUACAAAUGACUUCUAGUCAAGUUCCUUUAGCGGUUACGAUCUUCAAUUACCGCAUAGAUUAUUAUUUCCCGCAAUGUUCACAAAACUACUCUUUCAGCAUCGUCUGGACCCUUGCUUUAAAGCUUAAUUUCACUCCUAUCUAAUCCUUUCUUAUUUUCCCCACCUUUCCCAAUUCGCAUAAACUUUUCAUUAAAUAUUUAAUAUUAAGGGUAUUGUUGUUUCUUUCAUACCUAUAAACAUAUAUCCGUCGCUUCUGCAAUUUCUUCGUCCUCCUUUUAUACCAUCUUCUUAAUCCCUAUUCUUUACUUCUGUCUCUUUUUCAUGACAUAUGUCUAUUUCGUCCCUAAUUGUCAUGUCAGAUUGUCAGUGAUUCGAAUUACGAAAUAGAAGUUGCGUGCGCCGCGCCGGUAAAUAAAUAAACAUAAAAAAACAAGUAUUAGGAAAAACACAAAACUAAAAAUAAAUUAACUAAUUGCACUGGAUGCAAACCAGAGUCACUAGGAAUAGUGACUAACCUAGGACAACUUUGGCCUAUCGGUGGCCACAACA